rnacentral:rRNA from 1 species
GAUGAACGCUGGCGGCGUGCCUAAUACAUGCAAGUCGAGCGAACGGACGAGAAGCUUGCUUCUCUGAUGUUAGCGGCGGACGGGUGAGUAACACGUGGAUAACCUACCUAUAAGACUGGGAUAACUUCGGGAAACCGUAGCUAAUACCGGAUAAUAUUUUGAACCGCAUGGUUCAAAAGUGAAAGACGGUUUUGCUGUCACUAUUAGAUGGUUCCGCGCUGCAUUAGCUAGUUGGUAAGGUAACGGCUUACCAAGGCAACGAUGCAUAGCCGACCUGAGAGGGUGAUCGGCCACACUGGAACUGAGACACGGUCCAGACUCCUACGGGAGGCAGCAGUAGGGAAUCUUCCGCAAUGGGCGAAAGCCUGACGGAGCAACGCCGCGUGAGUGAUGAAGGUCUUCGGAUCGUAAAACUCUGUUAUUAGGGAAGAAAAGAUGUGUAAGUAACUGUGCACAUCUUGACGGUACCUAAUCAGAAAGCCACGGCUAACUACGUG